rnacentral:ncRNA from 2 species
UAAGAUCUUCGGGGCGGGGCGGAAGUCCCCACCGGCGGUGAUUCGGCCCAAAAAGCCGUUCAGCCCGCGAGCCGAGCCAAAGGAUCGCAAGACCCGGCGGCAGAGCAGGAUCUGGUGCAAGUCCAGAGCCGACGGUCAUAGUCCGGAUGAGAGAAGAUCUCA